UCGAGCGAACAGAUAAGGAGCUUGCUCCUUUGACGUUAGCGGCGGACGGGUGAGUAACACGUGGAUAACCUACCUAUAAGACUGGGAUAACUUCGGGAAACCGGAGCUAAUACCGGAUAACAUAUUGAACCGCAUGGUUCAAUAGUGAAAGGCGGCUUUGCUGUCACUUAUAGAUGGAUCCGCGCCGUAUUAGCUAGUUGGUAAGGUAACGGCUUACCAAGGCAACGAUACGUAGCCGACCUGAGAGGGUGAUCGGCCACACUGGAACUGAGACACGGUCCAGACUCCUACGGGAGGCAGCAGUAGGGAAUCUUCCGCAAUGGGCGAAAGCCUGACGGAGCAACGCCGCGUGAGUGAUGAAGGUCUUCGGAUCGUAAAACUCUGUUAUCAGGGAAGAACAAAUGUGUAAGUAACUGUGCACAUCUUGACGGUACCUGAUCAGAAAGCCACGGCUAACUACGUGCCAGCAGCCGCGGUAAUACGUAGGUGGCAAGCGUUAUCCGGAAUUAUUGGGCGUAAAGCGCGCGUAGGCGGUUUUUUAAGUCUGAUGUGAAAGCCCACGGCUCAACCGUGGAGGGUCAUUGGAAACUGGAAAACUUGAGUGCAGAAGAGGAAAGUGGAAUUCCAUGUGUAGCGGUGAAAUGCGCAGAGAUAUGGAGGAACACCAGUGGCGAAGGCGACUUUCUGGUCUGUAACUGACGCUGAUGUGCGAAAGCGUGGGGAUCAAACAGGAUUAGAUACCCUGGUAGUCCACGCCGUAAACGAUGAGUGCUAAGUGUUAGGGGGUUUCCGCCCCUUAGUGCUGCAGCUAACGCAUUAAGCACUCCGCCUGGGGAGUACGACCGCAAGGUUGAAACUCAAAGGAAUUGACGGGGACCCGCACAAGCGGUGGAGCAUGUGGUUUAAUUC
rnacentral:rRNA from 1 species